rnacentral:lncRNA from 1 species
UGCAUGAGUAUAAGCUAGUCAUUCUUGGCCCAGGAGGCGUUGGAAAGUCUGCUUUGAAUGUACAAUUUGUUCAAGGAAUUUUUGUUGAAAAAUAUGUCCUAUGAUAGAAGAUUCUUAUAGAAAGCAAGUUGAAGUAGAUGCACAGCAGUGUAUGCUUGCAAUCUUGGAUACUGCAGGAACGGAACAAUGUAUAGCAAGGAGGGAUUUGUACAUGAGAAAUGGACAAGGCUUUGCAUUAGUUUAUUCCAUCAAAGCACAGUCCACAUUUAAUGAUUUGCAAGACUUGAGAGAACAGAUUCUUUGAGUUAAAGACACUGAUGAUGUUCCAAUGAUUCUUGUUGGUAAUAAGUAUGACUUGGAAGAUGAAAGAGCUGUAGGGAAGGAAGAAGGUCAAAAAUCUAGCAAGACAAUGGAACAACUGUGCAUUCUUAGAUUCUUCUACAAAAUUCAAAAUAAAUGUUAAUGAGAUCUUUUAUGACCUAGUGCGGCAGAUUAACAGAAAAACUCCAGUGCCUGGGAAGGCUCGCAAAAAGUCAUCAUGUCAGCUGCUUUA